rnacentral:misc_RNA from 1 species
AAGUCGUAACAAGGUCUCCGUAGGUGAACCUGCGGAGGGAUCAUUACAAGUGACCCCCGGAUUACCUCCGGGAUGUUCAUAACCCUUUGUUGUCCGACUCUGUUGCCUCCGGGGCGACCCUGCCUUCUGGCGGGGGCCCCGGGUGGACAAAUUCAAACUCUUGCGUAACUUUGCAGUCUGAGUAAAUUUAAUUAAUAAAUUAAAACUUUCAACAACGGAUCUCUUGGUUCUG